rnacentral:rRNA from 1 species
GUGCACGCUGGCGGUAGGCCUCACCCCUGCCAGUCGCACGGCAGCACCGUAAGAGCUUGCUCUUACGGGUGGCGAGUGGCGGACGGGUGAGGAAUACAUCGGAAUCUACUUUUUCGUGGGGGAUAACGUAGGGAAACUUACGCUAAUACCGCAUACGACCUACGGGUGAAAGCAGGGGAUCUUCGGACCUUGCGCGAUUGAAUGAGCCGAUGUCGGAUUAGCUAGUUGGCGGGGUAAAGGCCCACCAAGGCGACGAUCCGUAGCUGGUCUGAGAGGAUGAUCAGCCACACUGGAACUGAGACACGGUCCAGACUCCUACGGGAGGCAGCAGUGGGGAAUAUUGGACAAUGGGCGCAAGCCUGAUCCAGCCAUACCGCGUGGGUGAAGAAGGCCUUCGGGUUGUAAAGCCCUUUUGUUGGGAAAGAAAAGCAGCAGGUUAAUACCCCGCUGUUCUGACGGUACCCAAAGAAUAAGCACCGGCUAACUUCGUGC